GAGAGAGCCAGCAUCACCAUCAGCACAAUCUCCACUGCCACCGCCCAAGCCUCCACCAACACCUCCACCAACACCUCCACCAAGAGCUCCACCACUACCUGAGUCUCCACCCAAGCCACCAACCCCACCAAGUCCACCGAGGCCACCAACCCCGCCAAGUCCACCGAGGCCACCAGCAACCCCGCCAAGUCCACCGAGGCCACCACCAACUCCAGCAAAGCCACCUACACCGCCAUAUGCGAUGAAGUUCUUCUGGUCAUUGAGGCCAGCGUCUUUGGGCACGUCCCUAGCACUUGCUUGAGCAAUAACAAGAGCAAUUAAAACUAGAAUGCAAUAACACCUUAC
rnacentral:lncRNA from 1 species